rnacentral:miRNA from 1 species
UAGAAUUCCCCCGUACCGAGUG